GGUGAACGCUGGCGGCGUGCCUAAUACAUGCGAGUCGAGCGAACGGACGAGAAGCUUGCUUCUCUGAUGUUAGCGGCGGACGGGUGAGUAACACGUGGAUAACCUACCUAUAAGACUGGGAUAACUUCGGGAAACCGUAGCUAAUACCGGUUAAUAUUUUGAACCGCAUGGUUCAAAAGUGAAAGACGGUCUUGCUGUCACUUAUAGAUGGAUCCGCGCUGCAUUAGCUAGUUGGUAAGGUAACGGCUUACCAAGGCAACGAUGCAUAGCCGACCUGAGAGGGUGAUCGGCCACACUGGAACUGAGACACGGUCCAGACUCCUACGGGAGGCAGCAGUAGGGAAUCUUCCGCAAUGGGCGAAAGCCUGACGGAGCAACGCCGCGUGAGUGAUGAAGGUCUUCGGAUCGUAAAACUCUGUUAUUAGGGAAGAACAUAUGUGUAAGUAACUGUGCACAUCUUGACGGUACCUAAUCAGAAAGCCACGGCUAACUACGUG
rnacentral:rRNA from 1 species